rnacentral:rRNA from 1 species
AGUGAGCGCUGGCGGUAGGCCUAACACAUGCAAGUCGAACGGCAGCACAGUAAGAGCUUGCUCUUACGGGUGGCGAGUGGCGGACGGGUGAGGAGUACAUCGGAAUCUACUUUUUCGUGGGGGAUAACGUAGGGAAACUUACGCUAAUACCGCAUACGACCUACGUGUGAAAGCAGGGGAUCUUCGGACCUUGCGCGAUUGAAUGAGCCGAUGUCGGAUUAGCUAGUUGGCGGGGUAAAGGCCCACCAAGGCGACGAUCCGUAGCUGGUCUGAGAGGAUGAUCAGCCACACUGGAACUGAGACACGGUACAGACUCCUACGGGAGGCAGCAGUGGGGAAUAUUGGACAAUGGGCGCAAGCCUGAUCCAGCCAUACCGCGUGGGUGAAGAAGGCCUUCGGGUUGUAAAGCCCUUUUGUUGGGAAAGAAAAGCAGCAGGUUAAUACCCCGCUGUUCUGACGGUACCCAAAGAAUAAGCACCGGCUAACUUCGUG